rnacentral:rRNA from 1 species
GACGAACGCUGGCGGCGUGCUUAACACAUGCCAGUCGAACGGAACGUCCCUGCUUUUUUGGGCUGCUCGAGUGGCGAACGGGUAAGUAACACUUGAGUUCCCUGCCAUUGCCUUUGGGAUAUCUUCAUAAAACUUGGUCUCAUCCCGGCUAGGAUCUCCUGCUUCUUGGUGGGGGUUGGAUAGUUUCGGCGGUUGGUAAUGGACUGGCGGCUUAUCAGCUUGUUGGUGAGGUAGUGGCUUACCAAGGCUUUGAAGGGUAGCCGGCCUGAGAGGGUCACAGGCCACAUUGGGAUGGAGAUAAGGCACAGACUCGUACGGGAGGCAGGAGUGGGGAAGAGUGCACAAGGGGCGGAAGGCUGAUGCAGCAAAGCAGCGUGCGGGAUGAGGGGCUGGGGGUAGGAAACCGAUGUUGCCUGUGACGAAGCGUGAGUGACGGUAAUGGGUAAAGAAGCACCGGCUAACUACGUG